rnacentral:lncRNA from 1 species
GUAUUAUCUUUAAGGUUAAAUGUAAAAAUGUUCAACUUUGCUCUGCUGUUGUAAAUCUGUUCCUUUGCAGGUGUUAUACUGAGUUUGUGAUACAGAUAUAUCUCCUGUCCCUACUGUUAUUUUAUUCAUAAUAUAAGACAAAGAAAAUGCCCUGAUAUGUCUUCAGAGAUGGAAAAUUGAAAGCUAAUACUCAAGACAGCAACAGGUUGACCUGAAAAAGCCCAGCAGAAUUAUAAAUGGAGCCAGGGCACAUAUUUGUGGGAACAAAGGAAAAGUUCAAGUACCUGCCUACCUAAAAAUGAUCACAACAGAGCAUUGGGAUCACACAUCUACAGAGGCACUUCUAAACUUUCAUGACAAACAGGGUUGUGCAUAAUGAAUGUAAACAAGUUAUCGACCAAAUAGAUGAUCACUGAAAGAAGGUGGUCAAAACUGCUGUCUGCAUUUAGGUGGUAUUUAAGAGGAUCAGACCCCAGCUGCACUCCUGAGGCAGACUAGGCAUUUGGUCUAGUGUUUUCAAAAACUUUAAGGUGUUAUUAGAGCCUGAGAUGAAGAACUGAUAUGAAUUACUCAGCAAAGGAAUAAGAAUCUGCUGCAAGAAGUAAUUUAGAACAAAUAGGUAGCAGCUAUUCUGUAUCACAUUUGAUG